CCACUCUUCCCGGUCACAGCCCAGCCCGUGUCCGCUGUGUGAUUGGGUUGAGAGCUGAGGGUUGACAACUGUCUCUGUGUUUUAUAGCGGGGAAGAGCGGCUACAAUGCCACCAAGACCUCGGAGCGCGGGGAAAACUCAUCAAACUCCUCUGCUCCAGCCUGAGGGCCGCCGUAUGCCGCCGCCGGUACAGGAGCGUCGGUGGAGAGCGGGACAAUUUGGCGGGUUUCUGCUGUGUGUUGGGGGGGGGGGGGCUGCAAUG